rnacentral:lncRNA from 1 species
CAACUACUAGAACAGGCAAAUGUGUUAAGAGUUUUGAUGGCCUCACUACAUGAAAACAUGUAAACAUGCAAAAAAUGAAUUGAAUGUAUUAACCAGCCAGUAUCACCAAAAGUGGCAGAAAUGCAUUUUUCUAGACAUUUCCAAUUUAACAUGACAAUUUGUAUCUCACACAUUUCUACUUCAAAGCAAAAAUACAUCACGAAUGUCCUUUCUCUACGUACUGUUAAUCCCUAAUCCCUGAAAUUUGAAAAUUUAACAGAAUGUUUUCAAUUUUCAAAGGUGUCAGUCACCAUCCUCGUACAAUUUAUCACACACUCCUUGUUUGGUUCAACACUUCAACUUAUGAGAAAUAAUUGUUUAAUUUAUCAAAAUGUCCCUCAUUUCAUAUGUUUGUUUAUUAGAUCAGAAAAAGCUAAUUUCAGCUUAUUAGAAAACCAUUCCUGCCAAAAAUGUUUUUAAAAAAUCAUUAAAGGGUAAAAUUUAGAUAAUAAAUAAACAUUUUAAAUUAUAAUUGCAGUCGCAAUUAUGGUCCCACACGUUGCGUUGCAUCCCAAAUAUGGCCCAAUACGAUUGUAUUGUAGUCCAAAUACAUCAGUGUGGUUCCGUUGCAACACUGGGAUACAGUAGAAUCUUACAUCACUAUAUCAACCAUUUGUUGGUUGUGAUCCACAAUUUAAAACACCAAUUUAAAUAUAAAAUAAACAAAAUCAAUGUGCCAAAGAAAAAAAAUAAAUAGAUAAAUCCCUCAGAAAGCCAAGUAUCAGCACGAAAAGGAGCAUGGUAUCAAAAUCAAAAUGAAUUCCUCAACCUUUUCACAAACAAGGAUUACUAAAUUGCGAAAGGGAGCAUCAUUUUGAAUUCAAUUAUUGAAAACCAAACUCCUCCUUCAGAUUACUAAAAUUUUCAUCACAGGGAAAUCAAUCAACAAAUGAGAAUGAGAUAUAAGGAUUACAUUUGACGAAAAAAACGAAAGCUUUAGAUGCUUCAGCAUCUUUCUUCUUCUAGCAAUGCCGUUGGCGGCUCAGAAAUAUGAAGAAACUGUGGUUCUCCGAACCCUAGAACUCUUUUCAAACAAAACGCAUAGGACCA